CGAGAGGCUCAUGGUGAGGGAGAGCGCGAGGCAGAACACGGGCCACGAGCGUCUCCACUCCAUUGUGCGCGAUCCGGAGAAGAGGCAAAAGUUUUAACUUUUUAUCCUUACCGAAACCAUAUUUCCGUUAAAGCGACGCUACCAUGGCGUAAAAGUUUGAAAUCAUUCAUGAUGGCUGUAAACUUUUCGGUAAAUCAAGAGAGGAAAAAAACAGUCCUCCAUCCCGCUUCUCUCCAAAACUCCCUGAAUUAGCUGCGCCUCCGCUGGGCAACAGGGCGGAGACUGAGCCACAAAGAGGACUGUCCCAAACACACACACACACACACACACACACACACACACACACACACACACACACACACACACACACACACACACACACACACACACACACACACGCGAAUGCGAGGACUCUCACAGCUCCGGUCGACCUGUUUCCAUCACACAUGCCAGUGUUCCCAUCUGCUUUAAUAUAGCCACAGACCACAACGACACUGAAAACAUCUAGUGAAAUCUCAGGUAUCGCUGUAUUUUAGGGUAAUAAAUGGGUAAACAGUUAUAUUAUUACGAUUAACUAUUAAUAAAGUGUUUUUGAUUGUAAAGGGUGGUUCAAAUAUGUAGAAUAUAAACAAAACUCCACAUUUCCAAAGUGUACAACGAUGAGCCACUAGACGGCGCAGUUUCUAAAGAAGCAUAGCCAGAAAAGCGGCAUAAAAAUCCUUUGGAAAUGCCUGAACAUACUAAUUAUAGUAGUAUAAACAAGGGAAGCAGCAAUAGAUCAUGAAAAAAAGACAUUAAGGUACAACUAUAGAGAAAGUUGAUCACAUCAAUGAAUAGUAUCUACUAAAGAUGGACAUAUCCAGACAAACAUACUAAAAGUCUAGAUAGACAGACAGAUAGAGAGAGACAUCUUGCUGCCCAAUUUGUAUCAAAAUGCCACAAACUGAGGGACAGUGGAAGAUCUGGACACACACACACACACACACACACACACACACACACACACACACACACACACACACACACACACACUCUUACACAC